UACGUAGGGUCCAAGCGUUAUCCGGAAUCACUGGGCGUAAAGCGUGCGUAGGCGGCUUGUUAAGUGCGGUGCGAAAUCCUGUGGCUCAACCAUAUGGACUGUAUCGCAUACUGGCAAUCUAGAGGACAUGAGAGGCAAGUGGAAUUACUGGUGUAGCAGUGAAAUGCGUAAAGAUCAGUAGGAACACCAAUGGCGAAGGCAGCUUGCUGGAAUGUAUCUGACGCUAAGGCACGAAAGCGUGGGGAGCGAACAGG
rnacentral:rRNA from 1 species